CGCUGAAGCUUGGUGCUUGCACCGAGCGGAUGAKUUGCGAACGGGUGAGUAACGCGUAGGUAACCUGCCUGGUAGCGGGGGAUAACUAUUGGAAACGAUAGCUAAUACCGCAUAACAGUGGAUGUCGCAUGACAUUUGCUUGAAAGGUGCAAUUGCAUCACUACCAGAUGGACCUGCGUUGUAUUAGCUAGUUGGUGAGGUAACGGCUCACCAAGGCGACGAUACAUAGCCGACCUGAGAGGGUGAUCGGCCACACUGGGACUGAGACACGGCCCAGACUCCUACGGGAGGCAGCAGUAGGGAAUCUUCGGCAAUGGACGAAAGUCUGACCGAGCAACGCCGCGUGAGUGAAGAAGGUUUUCGGAUCGUAAAGCUCUGUUGUAAGAGAAGAACGAGUGUGAGAGUGGAAAGUUCACACUGUGACGGUAUCUUACCAGAAAGGGASGGCUAACUACGUGCCAGCAACCGCGGUAAUACGUAGGUCCCGAGCGUUAUCCGGAUUUAUUGGGCGUAAAGCGAGCGCAGGCGGUUAGAUAAGUCUGAAAUUAAAGGCUGUGGCUUAACCAUAGUACGCUUUGGAAACUGUUUAACUUGAGUGCAGAAGGGGAGAGUGGAAUUCCRUGUGUAGCGGUGAARUGCGUAGAUAUAUGGAGGAACACCGGUGGMRAAAGCGGCUCUCUGGUCUGUAACUGACGCUGA
rnacentral:rRNA from 1 species